GGUCCAGUAGCACAGUGGUUAAUGCAUCAGAAUAUUGUAUGUCUUCCUAGUUUGGGUUAUUCUGAGAACCCUUGUUCAAUUCAAGGCUGGACCA